UGGGGAAUUUUGCACAAUGGAGGAAACUCUGAUGCAGCGACGCCGCGUGAGUGAUGAAGAUCUUCGGAUUGUAAAACUCUGUCCUUAGUGAAGAUAAUGACAGUAACUAAGAAGCAAGCCCUGGCUAAAUACGUGCCAGCAGCCGCGGUAAUACGUAUGGGGCAAGCGUUGUCCGGAAUUAUUGGGCGUAAAGGGUACGUAGGCGGUUUAAUAAGUCCUAAUUAAAAGGCUAUGGCUCAACCAUAGUAUGGUUAGGAAACUGUUGAACUUGAGGAGAUGAGGGGAAAGUGGAAUUCCAUGUGUAGCGGUGAAAUGCGUAGAUAUAUGGAAGAACACCAAUGGCGAAGGCAACUUUCUGGAAUCAAACUGACGCUGAGGUACGAAGGCGUGGGGAGCAAACAGG
rnacentral:rRNA from 1 species